rnacentral:rRNA from 1 species
GAUGAUCCUUGGCGGCGUGCCCAAUAUACGCAACUCGAGCGAACGGACGAGAAGCUUGCUUCUCUGAUGUUAGCGGCGGACGGGUGAGUAACACGUGGAUAACCUACCUAUAAGACUGGGAUAACUUCGGGAAACCGGAGCUAAUACCGGAUAAUAUUUUGAACCGCAUGGUUCAAAAGUGAAAGACGGUCUUGCUGUCACUUAUAGAUGGAUCCGCGCUGCAUUAGCUAGUUGGUAAGGUAACGGCUUACCAAGGCAACGAUGCAUAGCCGACCUGAGAGGUUGAUCAGCCACACUGGAACUGAGACACGGUCCAGACUCCUACGGGAGGCAGCAGUAGGGAAUCUUCCGCAAUGGGCGAAAGCCUGACGGAGCAACGCCGCGUGAGUGAUGAAGGUCUUCGGAUCGUAAAACUCUGUUAUUAGGGAAGAACAUAUGUGUAAGUAACUGUGCACAUCUUGACGGUACCUAAUCAGAAAGCCACGGCUAACUACGUG